rnacentral:lncRNA from 1 species
GCUUAUGUCUAAGGAGGGAGCAUUAUUGAAUAAAUUUGGUUUUGGAAUCUAAAGUUGGGGAGAGUAAAGUGAAAAGUUGAUUAGAAACUUGGAAAAGUGAAUUGUUAUAAAAGGGUGAAAUUUUGAAAAGAAACAAGAAAAAGAAAAUACCCUUGAAACCAUAGAGCAUAGAAAAAAGAUUAGAAAAAGAAAAGCAAAGAAAAUGCUCAUGGUUGUGUGGAGUUGAAAAGAAAAAAAAAGAAAAAGAAAAAGAUAGGGACCAAGGAAAAGGAAAUUGUGUAGAGUUGAAUGUUUGGGAAUGCUCCCUUAGGAUAUGCAACUUUGUAAAUUCUCUUAAUCAUAUCCUUUCUUGUAACCUAAGCCACAUUACAACCUUUGAAAGACCUCUUGAUUCUCAAUUUUCACAUGAUUUGGUAUUUGUUGUGAUAACCGCAUGAUUU